rnacentral:rRNA from 1 species
GAGUAAAGUCUGGGGAUCUGGCUUAUGGAGGGGGAUAACCAUUGGAAACGGUGGCUAAUACCGCAUGAUGUCGAAAGACCAAAGUGGGGGGACUUUAGAGCCUAACGCCAUAAGAUGAACCCAGAUGAGAUUAGCUAGUAGGUGCGGUAAUGGCGUACCUAGGCGACGAUCUCUAGCUGGUCUGAGAGGAUGACCAGCCACACUGGAACUGAGAAACGGUCCAGACUCCUACGGGAGGCAGCAGUGGGGAAUAUUGCACAAUGGGCGGAAGCCUGAUGCAGCCAUGCCGCGUGUGUGAAGAAGGCCUUAGGGUUGUAAAGCACUUUCAGCGGGGAGGAAGGCGGUAAGAGUAAUAUGCUUAUCGAUUGACGUUACCCGCAAAAGAAGCACCGGCUAACUCCGUGCCAGCAGCCGCGGUAAUACGGAGGGUGCUAGCGUUAAUCGGAAUAACUGGGCGUAAAGGGCAUGUAGGCGGUAAGUUAAGUCAGAUGUGAAAUCCCCGAGCUUAACUUGGGAACGGCAUUUGAGACUGGCUGGCUAGAGUUUUGUAGAGGGGGGUAGAAUUCCAGGUGUAGCGGUGAAAUGCGUAGAGAUCUGGAGGAAUACCUGUGGCGAAGGCGGCCCCCUGGACAAGGACUGACGCUGAGGUGCGAAAGCGUGGGUAGCAAACAGGAUUAGAUACCCUGGUAGUCCACGCUGUAAACGAUGUCGAUUUGGAGGUUGUAGCCUAGUGUUAUGGCGUCCGAAGCUAACGCGAUAAAUCGACCGCCUGGGGAGUACGGCCGCAAGGUUAAAACUCAAAUGAAUUGACGGGGGCCCGCACAAGCGGUGGAGCAUGUGGUUUAAUUCGAUGCAACGCGAAGAACCUUACCUACUCUUGACAUCCGCGGAAUUGAGCAGAGAUGCUUAGGUGCCUUCGGGAGCCGUGAGACAGGUGCUGCAUGGCUGUCGUCAGCUCGUGUUGUGAAAUGUUGGGUUAAGUCCCGCAACGAGCGCAACCCUUGUCCUUUGUUGCCAGCGCGUGAUGGCGGGAACUCAAAGGAAACUGCCGGUGAUAAAUCGGAGGAAGGUGGGGAUGACGUCAAGUCAUCAUGGCCCUUACGAGUAGGGCUACACACGUGCUACAAUGGCGCAUACAAAGAGCGGCGAGCGUGCGAACGUAAGCGAACCUCAUAAAGUGCGUCGUAGUCCGGAUUGGAGUCUGCAACUCGACUCCAUGAAGUCGGAAUCGCUAGUAAUCGUGGAUCAGAAUGCUACGGUGAAUACGUUCUCGGGCCUUGUACACACCGCCCGUCACACCAUGGGAGUGGGCGGCAAAAGAAGUAGGUAGCUUAACCUUCGGGGGGGCGCUUACCACU